rnacentral:lncRNA from 1 species
CUCGUGCACAGCCCUCCCAUUGGCUGCCUGCUCCUUGUUUACCGGGAGCUCGGCCAAUCAGCCAGGCCCGGCGGCGCGUGGACACGGUGUGCUGCUGCGGGGGGAGCGGUGGUGGGGCGAGUGCGCCGCCCGCGGGGGCGGGGGAAGCCGGCCCGGGAGGCGCGCCCCGGAGCCGCGCGGCCCUCGGGGCGCUGUUCCUGUUUCUCCAGAGCUUGUGGGGGACUAUGUAGCUGGAAUGGACUUGGCCCUGGGGACAUGACACUGACUUGAUGACAUCUAGUGGGAAGUCCUGAAGGUUCUUCUGCCAGAUGCCACACAUCACAUCCCAACUGCCCUGCUUUCUCUGCCACUCCUCAAGGCUCAGACUCUGAAGUGAGGCUGUCAGCUCCCAGACAAAGUCAGACUGUGGCUGAGAUUACUGGAAGUGGCUGUGAUGCCCAUCAGCAGAUGAUUGAGACGGGCUUCCUGGAACUGCCACUAACCUCCUGUAGACCAGGCUCCAUGUCCCAGCAGGUCCCAGCCCAGGCCCAACCUACAGCCAUAACCAUGGAAGGCAGGUAGGUGGACUUGGAGCUCCUGGGGGUGAUGGGGUGGCUCUGAAU